rnacentral:rRNA from 1 species
AUGAACGCUGGCGGCGUGCCUAAUACAUGCAAGUCGAGCGAACAGACGAGGAGCUUGCUCCUCUGACGUUAGCGGCGGACGGGUGAGUAACACGUGGAUAACCUACCUAUAAGACUGGGAUAACUUCGGGAAACCGGAGCUAAUACCGGAUAAUAUAUUGAACCGCAUGGUUCAAUAGUGAAAGACGGUUUUGCUGUCACUUAUAGAUGGAUCCGCGCCGCAUUAGCUAGUUGGUAAGGUAACGGCUUACCAAGGCAACGAUGCGUAGCCGACCUGAGAGGGUGAUCGGCCACACUGGAACUGAGACACGGUCCAGACUCCUACGGGAGGCAGCAGUAGGGAAUCUUCCGCAAUGGGCGAAAGCCUGACGGAGCAACGCCGCGUGAGUGAUGAAGGUCUUCGGAUCGUAAAACUCUGAUAUUAGGGAAGAACAAAUGUGUAAGUAACUAUGCACGUCUUGACGGUACCUAAUCAGAAAGCCACGGCUAACUACGUG